AUCCUUAUUCUUUGUUAAUCUUCAAAUGAAAUAAAAGUAAUUCUGUUCUUAUCAGCUUAAUAUCUGAUAUGUCGGGCAAUGCCCGACUCUUAUAUUAAACUGAUUUUGGAUAUCGGCCAUGGGAUUGGAGCUUGCUUCGCCCUGGCCACGGGUUGUCUCGGUAUUGCACUACCUCCGAGUUCGGCCCAUUUCCC